UCCCGGGUGCCUCAGAUGGUAAAGAAUCUGCCUGCAGUGUAAGAGAUCCAGGUUCGAUCCCUGGCUCAGGAA
rnacentral:tRNA from 1 species